rnacentral:tRNA from 1 species
UGGCUCAGAGGUUAAAGCAUCUGCCUGCAACGCAGGAGAGCUGGGUUCAAUCCCUG